ACGCGAUAAGUAGACCGCCUGGGGAGUACGGUCGCAAGACUAAAACUCAAAUGAAUUGACGGGGGCCCGCACAAGCGGUGGAGCAUGUGGUUUAAUUCGAUGCAACGCGAAGAACCUUACCUGGCCUUGACAUACUAAGAACUUUCCAGAGAUGGAUUGGUGCCUUCGGGAACUUAGAUACAGGUGCUGCAUGGCUGUCGUCAGCUCGUGUCGUGAGAUGUUGGGUUAAGUCCCGCAACGAGCGCAACCCUUUUCCUUAUUUGCCAGCGGGUAAUGCCGGGAACUUUAAGGAUACUGCCAGUGACAAACUGGAGGAAGGCGGGGAUGACGUCAAGUCAUCAUGGCCCUUACGGCCAGGGCUACACACGUGCUACAAUGGUCGGUACAAAGGGUUGCUACCUCGCGAGAGGAUGCUAAUCUCAAAAAGCCGAUCGUAGUCCGGAUCGCAGUCUGCAACUCGACUGCGUGAAGUCGGAAUCGCUAGUAAUCGCGGAUCAGAAUGCCGCGGUGAAUACGUUCCCGGGCCUUGUACACACCGCCCGUCACACCAUGGGAGUUUGUUGCACCAGAAGUAGGUAGUCUAACCGCAAGGAGGACG
rnacentral:rRNA from 1 species